AAGGAUUUAGCUUAAUUAAAGUUGUUGAUUUGCGUUCAAUAGAUGUAGAUGGUAGAUCUGCAAUCCUUA
rnacentral:tRNA from 1 species